CCUGGACGGUGGGCAGCUUUCGGAGGGGGGUUGGUGCCUUCUGGUUGGAGCCCGGCCGGCAUGCAUUUCCGGUGCCUUGAAAUGCGGCGUUUGCCAGUGAUUUUCGUUUGUAAUCAGUCCUGCCGACCGGACUCAAUGAGCGUGUUGAUGGCGAAGAGAGGAAGGGAGAGCGAUAGAAACAUCAACGAUGAGAGAGAAUCGCUGACCGGCCCCCCCCUGGGGAUGGAGCCCACACCCAGCAGGUGCCCUGACCGGGGACCGAACCGUGACCUACGGGUCAUAGGUCGGCGCUCGGCCACUGAGCCCCGGGCGGCACCUGUGUUCUCACUGCGUGUUGGUGCCGUGAGGACCUGCAGCAGCUCAGCCGGCCGGGCCCCUAGAUGCAUCCCGGGGCCGGUGCUGAGUGACCAGGGCAUCUGAGGGUGGCUCCUGGCCGCUUCCUUGAUGAGGUGCAUGAACCUGCUUGACGGGUGCGGAGGAGAGCUCCUGGCGGAGUGGGAGCUGCCUGUACCAGAGCAGGGUUACCUGGCGGGGAAGGGGGCUGGUUUUAAAUAAAAGGGAAUUCUCAGCCGA